rnacentral:lncRNA from 1 species
AAACAUACUAAUUAAAGUGGUUUUGAAAGGAAAUUAAAUUAGGCUUUGAUAUCAGCCAGUUAUAUUACACGGUGAAGCCCAAAAAAAUUGUGAAUUAAGUUGAGCUCUCAUGAUCCACAAAAUAAUCACAUAUCCUCAUCCAGCCCCUUUUGAAAUAUUGAUAAUCUAAUGUGACCGUUCAGGAAGAGGAAAAAAAAACAUAAAUAAAGGUAAUUGAAAAAAAAAACACAAAUCUUUUGGCGAUUUUAGUUUUGAAAAAUCUAUAGGAUGGAUGGAACAUAUAUUUAUAAGAGAUCUGAUAUUCAAUGGAAGUAGGUAAAAUCUUUCCAAAAUCAUGUUGAUACCAACUUGAAUAAAAGAUGCGUAUGUGGGAGAAUAAAUAUAUAUAAAUGUUAAUAUAUGUUCCAUCUAUAGGAUGGAUGGAACAUAUAUUUAUACGUAUGUAGAUUCGUAUAAGUAUAUAGUCAAAGAAACGCUGAUUUUCAUGUUUACAUUUGUAAGUUUUGCGAGGAGGCUAUGUUGCGGUGAGAAAGUUUGUGUUGAGAACGACGUACGGUAGCUUGAUGUGUAGAUUGCACCGCCGAGAAAGAAAAAAAUGUUUACAACACAAGGAAGUAGCAACGUGAUUUCAUGGUAGCAUGCUUAAACGCUAAUUAGUUUACUUUUCACUUUCUGAUUCCUUUCUUUUUUUUUUUUUUGGUCAAAAUUCCUUUCAUUUUUUUUUUUUUAUUACUUAGGUCUUUUAUCAAAUUUUGUAUGUGUUUUCUGGUUCUUCUAUCAAAUUUUCUAUGUUAAUAAAUGGUCUCUGCGUCUUUUGUUCAAACCUUUUUCGGACAGUUAGAAACCAUCUGCGCCUGUAUAUAUAAUAACUGGUUAACAGACUAGAUCUCGUAUCUCAACGGUUAGUAUGUCGACAACGAAAAAGUGUCGAUCGAUGGUCCUAUUAGAACGUCGACCGAUACACCUUUGCCAACGUCGAUCGAUAGUCAGUUGAGGACAUCGAUCGACGGGUUCUAGCCAGGCCUAUGCGCGAGUAUGAUAUGCCCUACUAAGAUACUAAAUUGGCAGUUAGCCCUUUCUAGCAGUCCUAAUAUGAUAGAUAGAUGUCAGGAUGAGAUAACAAGGGUGCUUGAAUAUGCAAUCCUAUGAUCAAGUUCUAGUUAGCAAGGCUAAAACAAGC